rnacentral:tRNA from 1 species
UUUAAAUUGUGCAAAUCAAUUUAAUUUGAUAAUUAUAAUCUUACUAGCUUUUUUUUUUUUUUUUUU